rnacentral:rRNA from 1 species
UACGAAGGGGGGCUAGCGUUGUUCGGAAUCACUGGGCGUAAAGCGCACGUAGGCGGACUUUUAAGUCAGAGGUGAAAGCCUGGAGCUCAACUCCAGAACUGCCUUUGAUACUGGGAGUCUCGAGUUCGGAAGAGGUUGGUGGAACUGCGAGUGUAGAGGUGAAAUUCGUAGAUAUUCGCAAGAACACCAGUGGCGAAGGCGGCCAACUGGUCCGAUACUGACGCUGAGGUGCGAAAGCGUGGGGAGCAAACAGG